UGGGGAAUUUUCCGCAAUGGGCGAAAGCCUGACGGAGCAAUGCCGCGUGGAGGUGGAAGGCCUACGGGUCGUCAACUUCUUUUCUCGGAGAAGAAACAAUGACGGUACCUGAGGAAUAAGCAUCGGCUAACUCUGUGCCCG
rnacentral:rRNA from 1 species